GGGAUUGCCUCAGUAACGGCGAGUGAAGCGGCAACAGCUCAAAUUUGAAAUCUGGCCCCUUCGGGGUCCGAGUUGUAAUUUGUAGAGAGUGUUUCGGGUGAGACCACGGUCUAAGUCCAUUGGAACAUGGCGUCAUAGAGGGUGAGAAUCCCGUAUGUGACUGUGGCUCGAACCCAUGUGAAGCCUCUUCGACGAGUCGAGUUGUUUGGGAAUGCAGCUCAAAAUGGGUGGUAAAUUUCAUCUAAAGCUAAAUACUGGCUGGAGACCGAUAGCGCACAAGUAGAGUGAUCGAAAGAUGAAAAGCACUUUGGAAAGAGAGUCAAACAGUACGUGAAAUUGUUGAAAGGGAAGCGCUUGCAACCAGACCUGUCCGUAGGUGAUCAGCCGCUGUUCUCAGUGGUGCACUCGCUCUGCGAUCAGGCCAGCAUCGGUUUCGGCGGCCGGAUAAAGGCCUUGAGAAUGUAGCUUCCCUUCGGGGGAGUCUUAUAGCCCUCGGUGCAAUGCGGCCAGCCGGGACCGAGGACCGCGCUUCGGCUAGGAUGCUGGCGUAAUGGUUGUAA
rnacentral:rRNA from 1 species